rnacentral:rRNA from 1 species
UGGGGAAUAUUCCGCAAUGGACGAAAGUCUGACGGAGCAACGCCGCGUGAGUGAUGAAGGUUUUCGGACUGUAAAGCUCUGUUGUUUAGGACGAAAGUGCCUGUUGCGAACAGUUACAGGUAUUGACGGUACUAAACGAGGAAGCCACGGCUAACUACGUGCCAGCAGCCGCGGUAAUACGUAGGUGGCAAGCGUUGUCCGGAAUUAUUGGGCGUAAAGAGCAUGUAGGCGGAGAUUUAAGUCUGUUGUGAAAAUGCGGGGCUCAACCCCGUAUUGCGAUGGAAACUGAAUUUCUUGAGUGCAGGAGAGGAAAGGGGAAUUCCCAGUGUAGCGGUGAAAUGCGUAGAUAUUGGGAGGAACACCAGUGGCGAAGGCGCCUUUCUGGACUGUGUCUGACGCUGAGAUGCGAAAGCCAGGGUAGCGAACGG